rnacentral:rRNA from 1 species
AUGGCGAAAAGGCCCAAAUCCUUCUAUAUUACAGUGUCUAAGAGGUUGUGGUUGCUGCAUUUUGCGAAGGGACUCGAGUAUGAAGAAUUAAUGAAACGAAGGGCCAACACUAAAGAAGAAAGGGAUCUACUUGAGGCUGAAGAAGAGAAGAAGGAGGGCAAAAGUGCAAAAUGGCAGAUCAGGGAGGGGAUCAAAAUCCCUAGCAGCCUCCAUUUCGAAACCGAGCCUGGCACACAUCUCUCUCCCUCAUCCCUCCUUCUCCACCUCCGGCCGCCGCCGCGGCCAGGCCGGCGUGGCGACAUGUCACCAGCUCCACCACUCCACCACAACCAGCAUCACCACCCAUCCAUCCAUCCGCACCACAUCCACCUCACGCAACUCACCAGACAGAGGGCCGGCGGUGCCUGA